rnacentral:rRNA from 1 species
GCUAGUAAUCGCGGAUCAGCAUGCCGCGGUGAAUACGUUCCCGGGCCUUGUACACACCGCCCGUCACACCAUGAGAGUUGGCAACACCCGAAGUCAGUAGGCAAACGGAAGAAGCCGCUGCCGAAGGUGGGGUCGAUGAUUGGGGUGAAGUCGUAACAAGGUAAC